CUCUGAGCCUCUGUCCCUCAAGCUGCUGUUCCCACACUUGUCACACAGUCCACCCAUACUCCUCCCAGCUGGGAUCUCUAUGGAAGUGGCCAUCAGUACAGUGUCUUGGUGCCACACGGGUGGCUUCCAUGUCAAGGAUGGAAGUGGAGAGCUGGUGCCGUAAAGACCAGCAGCCAGGAAUUGCUCUGAGUCUGGGAUCAAAAUGAGCCUCAAGUCUCAGAGCUACUGACUAAUGGCUUUUUGGAAAUAAUUGUUUUUCUAAAUAUGACAAUACUCAUGAUCAUUGCAGGUAAAAGAAUGAACAAGAUAAAAAGCACCUGUAAUUGCAUCAACCAGAGAUGACCACCCAUAAUUUCUGAUUAGCUUUACUCUCUGUAUUCCUGUAAGUAUAAUAUACACAUAAAAUUUACUUUCUGUUACAUGGUAGGUGUGUAUUCCAGCAUCUUCUCCACAACUUGUGAGGAGCAUUUUUACAUUUCACUAAAUAUCAUCCAUCAACAUUGUUAUCUCUGCAUAUUUGCUCAUUGUAUGAGUAUGCCAUAAUUUUUAAACUUUUUUAUCAUUGUAUAUUUAGGUGUCCCUUUUUUGGCUUUGAAAGAAAUUGUUAUCAAAGAUGCUUACAGAAAUAUCAGAAUGCUUCUUGGAUUUGUGAUUAUGGGAAUGAAGAAAAAAAGUUCUUGCUUCUGAAUGCAUGCUCAGGAAACUGUUACUUGCUGAGUGGUUUCACCAGCUGCUCUAGCUGUUUCAUGAAUGUCCAUCUCUUUCCCAGGUUCUGAGGAGACAACCCAGCUUAGAAAUGGAAAAGUGGUUGGAUCUGUGUUUGCAAGAAUGGAUGGGCUGCAGAGGUCACAUUCCAGUGACCGUGUGGGCUCUGGGUGCUGCGUACACUUUCUUGCAGUGCUAUAGCUAUCUGAUCUCUUUGUUCCAUCUUGUAACUUAGUUUGUUCCUCUAUGCUUAUUAGCAAUAAAAUAUUUUUGACUCUCAGAAAACCUUGUUUGUUGCAGGGACAAGAAACCAGAAAAGAAGUAGAAAUCAUCAUUCCACUCCUGUAGCUGCAGAAAGUGGCUGUCCUGUUGUGUGUCCUCAGAGCUCCCUGUGUCUCUCCCUCACAG
rnacentral:lncRNA from 1 species